rnacentral:rRNA from 1 species
AGCGGCGGACGGGUGAGUAACACGUGGGUAACCUGCCUGUAAGACUGGGAUAACUCCGGGAAACCGGGGCUAAUACCGGAUGCUUGAUUGAACCGCAUGGUUCAAUUAUAAAAGGUGGCUUUUAGCUACCACUUACAGAUGGACCCGCGGCGCAUUAGCUAGUUGGUGAGGUAACGGCUCACCAAGGCAACGAUGCGUAGCCGACCUGAGAGGGUGAUCGGCCACACUGGGACUGAGACACGGCCCAGACUCCUACGGGAGGCAGCAGUAGGGAAUCUUCCGCAAUGGACGAAAGUCUGACGGAGCAACGCCGCGUGAGUGAUGAAGGUUUUCGGAUCGUAAAACUCUGUUGUUAGGGAAGAACAAGUACCGUUCGAAUAGGGCGGUACCUUGACGGUACCUAACCAGAAAGCCACGGNUAACUACGUGCCAGCAGCCGCGGUAAUACGUAGGUGGCAAGCGUUGUCCGGAAUUAUUGGGCGUAAAGCGCGCGCAGGCGGUUUCUUAAGUCUGAUGUGAAAGCCCCCGGCUCAACCGGGGAGGGUCAUUGGAAACUGGGGAACUUGAGUGCAGAAGAGGAGAGUGGAAUUCCACGUGUAGCGGUGAAAUGCGUAGAGAUGUGGAGGAACACCAGUGGCGAAGGCGACUCUCUGGUCUGUAACUGACGCUGAGGCGCGAAAGCGUGGGGAGCGAACAGGAUUAGAUACCCUGGUAGUCCACGCCGUAAACGAUGAGUGCUAAGUGUUAGAGGGUUUCCGCCCUUUAGUGCUGCAGCAAACGCAUUAAGCACUCCGCCUGGGGAGUACGGUCGCAAGACUGAAACUCAAAGGAAUUGACGGGGGCCCGCACAAGCGGUGGGAG